UGCUGGACCCGGUCCGGCCCUGGCGCCCGGCCCGCCGCGAGCAUGCUCAGUCUCCGCCUCGGGAUCGCCUCCCGCGCGGGAAGACCGGGGCGCAGCGGCAAGAAAGGGGAACUCUAAUUCUCACUGAGGCUGCCAUUCGAAGUUCGCGUGGCAUGCGUGUUAUGGAUGAGAAAACAGCCUCCGCUAGGCAGCCGGGACCCUCCCCUCGGAGCUACACUGACUCACAGGAACCAAGCAGCUGGUCUGUCCUCAGCCCAGGACAACUCAAACCCUCAAAACAUAUGAUUAAUGCAAGACCACGUGAGAACAUGGAGAAGCGGAUGUUAGCUAUGGGUGUGGAGAGAGGUAGGAGAACAGUGCUCUACUGGGCCACAGGUGACAGAGGCUGCAG